rnacentral:rRNA from 1 species
CAAUAGCGUAUAUUAAAGUUGUUGCAGUUAAAACGCUCGUAGUCGGAUUUCGGGGCGGGGGCGCCGGUCUGCCGAUGGGUAUGCACUGGCGUCCGCGUCCUUCCUUCCGGAGACUGGCCCUACUCUUAACUGAGCGGGGUCGGGAGUCGGAUCGUUUACUUUGAAAAAAUCAGAGUGUUUCAAGCAGGCAGCUCGCUCUUGCAUGGAUUAGCAUGGGAUAAUGAAAUAGGACUUUGGUGCUAUUUUGUUGGUUUCGAACACCGAAGUAAUGAUUAACAGGGACAGUCAGGGGCACUCGUAUUCCGCCGAGAGAGGUGAAAUUCUCAGACCAGCGGAAGACGAACCACUGCGAAAGCAUUUGCCAGGGAUGUUUUCACUGA